CCAGAUCCCAAUAUUGUGUCAAAUUGUUUGCAAACAUUGUUUCUCAAGUUCAAACUGAAACCUUUGUUAAUAUGUCGAUUACGAUUACGAUCGAUAACAACCUUAAUGCCUGCAUGAAGCAAUUCUAGGAAGCCCGACAGCAUCAGGAGCAGCAGGAGCAACAGCCACCUAAGCCGAAGCUGACGAGGCGUUGACAAGCCGCAUUGUCAUCAAUUUUGCCUUUGAUAAAAUAUACAUACAUAUAACAGGGGGGGAGGAUGAUGGAAACACGGAAUAGGUGGUUGGUCAACCGUUUAAUGGGCUUAUAGUUUAGAUUAUGAAACAUUUUUUUAAUUUAUGCACAAUUUCGCUUGGGCCCACAGCAGAAGGAGCUCCCACAAAUAGGUCAUUGUCACAAAAUACAAGCAAUUGGUUUCGACCAUGGGAAUGGGCAAAAGGUGCGAGUACCGCAUGAAAUUGGCCCCGAAAUCAGGUUAGAUGUGCGGGCAAACGUUUGCGACCCACGGGUUAAACUGGCGCAGAAGAAUGGACCUAAAUGGAUUAACGCUUCAAUGAGAAUUCAUUUAAAAACUGAACUGAAGCAGCGCAUAAGCAGCACAACGAACUCGAUCCCAUGCUCAGACGAAUCCUUUUUUCCAAUCAAUUGUUCACACAGCCAGGCUCCAGUGCUCCGUAUCGAGUGCUGAGUGGUUUUAAAUUACACGAUGUCUGAAAUAUGAGGAAGAGUAAUUCUUCAACAUUUCUGUAGUGUCGUAUCGAGAUACAAGAUGCCAGAUAUGGUCCGCUCAAGCGCAAAACCUAUAACAAUUCGUGGAAGUAACAUGUUAAUUGAAUUAUCAAUGGAUGCUAAACACCUACGAGAUCUCGCUUGAGCCUCGUUACCAGCUUUUGUCAGACACGAUAGCCCUGAAUUAUUUCAUUAUUUCAUUUAAGCAAUAAAGGUUUUCGAGUGUCGUUUUCCGGCAUGGGAAAACCCCUAAGACCCAACAUGAUACCUAUCUUUUGCAAAGGAUUAUAUUUCACAGUCUUCUCUUUAAGCGCUGACAGCUAAAAGAUCGAUAGUUUUUAUUAACAGAUAUAUUUAUUACUUGAACUAGUUUACUUCAGUAUAUAAGAAUAUAAAUAUUUAAAGCUAUUUAUACAAUGCCCUUAUUUACGCGUUAGCUUAACUGGCAAAUGCGUUUUGACCCGAAAAGAUUCAGAUACAUAUUUCAUCUCAACAUGGCACAAAAACUUUCUUUCAGUGGCUAUAAGUCAAGCAUAUCCCGAUGGCCUGGCCUCAAAACAUCCAUGUAAAAGAAAUAACUCGUGUACUUUUGUAUGCCACAGCAUUUUAUUGAUAAACUUGUGCCAUAGUCACAGACCGCAGCAAAUCUAAGGACCACAACUCGGUUCAAUGUGCAAUGAGCCCAGAAAAGCCAACUCCGCUCCGUGCAUGUCUACGGCAAUAGCCGCUUCCAUGUUACCCUUGUUGCUGUGCUCCCUCAAGACCCUGGCGCAAUCGAAACCCAGUUGUCGCAGACCAGAAUAGCCUUGGGAAACACUUUUUUCUAUGAACUCCCAGAGAGCUCAAACUUUAUGGCACUUGUUCUGGUUAGAGACGAGUUGGGGAGGUGCAGACGACACCAUUUGCAAAUCGAGACAACGCGACUAGUUGAGAGUCCCCAUGCUCGGAAUGAUUAACCAGUACGCACUGGCAAACCGGCUGGUGAGCUGCGUUCCGAGCUGCUCAAUAAAAAUAAAUUAAAAUCAAUCAAAUUAAAAAAUAUAGUUGGUCUGAAGCAGUGACCGCUCUGCUCACACUUGGGCGAUGAUGCGAAAAAACUAAUGAGCAUUUCCCUAGGUCUAUGGCGAAAAGUCAGCCCCCAGCGCCUACCGGCUCUCCCGAGCGUACGUGAGGACGCCUCAAUGGAGUGUUUAAUUUAUGCGUCACAUAUGUCACCACCAACUAAAAAAGAAAGAGACAGAGCGACGGACCUCCCCUUUACCCAAGGACGGAGCCCAGGUACACAAACCUUCUACCAGCUCUGGGCUCUCACGUAGGCUACCCGUCUGGCCGUGGCCAAAAAUUUAAUUAAAUUUCACGUUGCACGAGUGCUUCUAUUAUUAUUAUGGAAGUUCAUAUGCGAGACUUGUCAUUUUCCCCAUUCCUGUUCUGGUUCAGUUCUCCAGACGAAUCAAGUGCCAAAAUAAUAAACAAGCUGGUUUUCUAACAAACCUUAACUGGGAGCACAGUAAAAAUAUUCAACGUUUCUAAGUUAUUAAUGUGCCGGACCAAGCAUAUGUAUAUACUUAUAUAUAUAGCUCAUAACAUCUAAUAUCUCAUAAUAUCCCAUAAUCUAAGUAUAUUCUCAUAUUGUAGUAUAUAUAAUAUUUUUUAUUUCGCUGUUUACCGAGCGGGAGAAAGCAAGAAAACUAUAAAUACAAUUAUUUAAAUCAGAAGUCGGUGAUCAUAGAAAUGAUACAAUAAACAUGUAGAUUACAAAUUUCUGUAAAGAAACCUAA